CCUACGGGAGGCUGCAGUGGGGAAUAUUGGACAAUGGGGGGAACCCUGAUCCAGCCAUGCCGCGUGUGUGAAGAAGGCCCUCGGGUUGUAAAGCACUUUCAGUGAGGAAGAACGCCUGGUGGUUAAUACCCAUCAGGAAAGACAUCACUCACAGAAGAAGCACCGGCUAACUCCGUGCCAGCAGCCGCGGUAAUACGGAGGGUGCGAGCGUUAAUCGGAAUUACUGGGCGUAAAGCGCGCGUAGGUGGCUCGAUAAGCCGGUUGUGAAAGCCCCGGGCUCAACCUGGGAACGGCAUCCGGAACUGUCAAGCUAGAGUGCAGUAGAGGAAGGUAGAAUUCCCGGUGUAGCGGUGAAAUGCGUAGAGAUCGGGAGGAAUACCAGUGGCGAAGGCGGCCUUCUGGACUGACACUGACACUGAGGUGCGAAAGCGUGGGUAGCAAACAGGAUUAGAUACCCGAGUAGUC
rnacentral:rRNA from 1 species